rnacentral:rRNA from 1 species
GAUGAACGCUGGCGGCGUGCCUAAUACAUGCAAGUCGAGCGAACGGACGAGAAGCUUGCUUCUCUGAUGUUAGCGGCGGACGGGUGAGUAACACGUGGAUAACCUACCUAUAAGACUGGGAUAACUUCGGGAAACCGGAGCUAAUACCGGAUGAUAUUUUGAACCGCAUGGUUCAAAAGUGAAAGACGGUCUUGCUGUCACUUAUAGAUGUAUCCGCGCUGCAUUAGCUAGUUGGUAAGGUAACGGCUUACCAAGGCAACGAUGCAUAGCCGACCUGAGAGGGUGAUAGGCCACACUGGAACUGAGACACGGUCCAGACUCCUACGGGAGGCAGCAGUAGGGAAUCUUACGCAAUGGGAGAAAGCCUGACGGAGCAAAGACGCGUGAGUGAUGAAGGUCUUCGGAUCGUAAAACUCUGUUAUUAGGGAAGAACAUAUGUGUAAGUAACUGUGCACAUCUUGACGGUACCUAAUCAGAAAGCCACGGCUAACUACGUG